rnacentral:lncRNA from 1 species
GAAUCUGCAGCGCUGGUGAUCUGCAAUCACAAGGACAGUAGGUGGUAGCUGCUCCAGCCCGGAUACAAAUGGCCCAGAAAGAUGCACAAGGCACCCAGGCCUAGACUGGGGAACUCUGCGCAUCCAUCCUGCCACCUGGAGGAGCAACUUUUAGUUGCUGAUCACCAGGGAGCAAGUUGGCGCAUGUCCCCCACCCCAGACGAGUCACCUUCCAGACAAGGGUCUGUGCGAGGCCUAAUGACAGACACCCAACUGGCAACUGUAGCCAAGAUGCUCUGUUUCUGCAACCCCUACCCCGCCCAUCUCAGUUGCACUGACUGCGACUUUUUAACUUCAGAAUCCAUGUAUUGGGUUGCCAGCUCCUUAAAGUCCCUCCUUUCCCAUCCUUUGGGCACAGCUUGGGGAAACUCCUGGGGCCUGGACCAGGCUCAUUUUCCAUCUCCCUGGUGAGGUUUGCCUGCAAAGCUAUUUUGAAGAAGCAGAUCCUUCUGCUACCCCCUGGAAUCUUCUCCAGGACCCACCAGCACUGGGACAGAGUGAGGAGAGGUUGCAGGGCUGUUCAAACAGCUCUUGUGCGGGACAAGUGAGCGCAACAGAACUAGCACCUGAGGCUCCCGCUGCAGAGGGCUGACAUCCUGGGUGGAC